ACAAUGAUACUCCCGUCCAGUCACAGCCCCUUAUAUAUGAAGGGAUCACGCAAUGAGGGCGGCUCCCGGAGAACCCGGGAGGGGUUAGACUCCCGUGG
rnacentral:ncRNA from 1 species